CCCCUUCCGCUCCAGCCCGCUCGCCUCCUUCUCCCCCUCCCGCGCAUGUCUCUCUCUCUCCCUCUCGCGCCCCUCCCUGCCACGCCGCCGCCGUCGCCACUCGUCCGGGCACCUAUCCACGACCCCGCGCUGCCCCUCUCCUCUUCCUCCCGCCUCACCUCUAUCUUUCUCUCUCUCUCCUCUUCAAACCUUAACCCUAGCCACUAGCCUCCGCUUGCCGCUGCAGCUGCUCCUGCUCAAGGACGAGGUGAUGAAGAUCACCCCCGUGCAGAAGCAGACGCGCGCCAGCCAGCGCACCCGCUUCAAGGCCUUCGUCGGUGGCGGCGACAGCAACGGCCACGUCGGCCUCGGUGUCAAGUGCGCCAAGGAGGCGGCGACGGCCAUCCGCGGCACCAUCAUCCUCGCCAAGCCCCUUGGGGGUCUAGAAUCAUGGCCGCCCGCGUCCCCAAGAAGGUGCUGCAGUUCGUCGGCAUCGAUGAUGUCUUCACUUCCUCUCGUCGAUCCACCAAGGUAGAGGGACAAAAAUUGAAGAUUCAAAUGAGCGACUCAAAUUCAGGAUUUGAGUUACCAACGUAGUGUCUACGACUGGCUGAUGGUUCAAGAGUUCGAAGAAAGUCAAGCAGAAUGGAAUACUACACAUGCCCACGCUGCUAUAUGCCAAGGAUGGACAAGGGUAUCAUUGUGUAUAUAUGUGAUAGUCGUGGUGUCCCUGAAAUUUACGAGGAAGAUGGAGCUAGCACGAUUGGUGCAUCAGAACCUUCAGUUGUCCUGGUACAAGCUACCUUUGCUUACAAUGCCACAAUUAGAGAUUUUCUUGAUCAAUGGUAUGACAUUGUAUGCAUCAGAACCUUUAGUUGUCCUGGUGCAUCUUGUGCAGCGAAGCUUUAGUACCAAAGCAUUUGAAUAAAUCAAAUGAAUAAUCUCUUUUCUGGGUUCUGGAAUGAUAUUUGAAACAAUUUAAUACUCUCCAUGAGAUUUUAAUUCAUAUCCUGGAUAGUAAAGUAUUUGGUGUCCAGUAUAGUAUUUUGGGAAGUUUUAGGACCAUGUUCAUAUUUUGGACUUUUUAGGCAUAUUUUUCUACGACAGUGUUUGUGUUGAGUUUUGACUAAGCUUUUUGGGCAUUGUUUGUUGCUUGUUAAAGUUCAUAUCAGUAGACACUUUACUAUCAAAUGAUGCAAUAUCAGGCCUCUCAAUCUUGUGACUUGCCUGCUAAGCUGAUAUAAUAUAUGAGUAUUUUUUGGCACAUAUAUUUGUUCUCCUGUGUUCGAGACAUGUAUAAUUUAUCUCAACCGUGUUAUAAUUUAUCUGUUUUAUUCUGUACAAAUUUAAUCCAAUAUCGGUUUUAGUUUAUACUUGCUUCUAAGCUCGAUUUGUAGAGCUAAUGCCUGACUAUCUCUUUGGGUUCUGCGCCACUUAAAAUCAAUCAUGCUACCAGCUUAUUUCUGAGACCAAUUUAUAGCUCAGGUUCUUACUACAUCUUCCUGAGAUAAUUUCUCUAAUUUAUUUCUAUGGAUUUGGGUCAAUUAUUGAUAUAUUUUUGUACAGAAUGUACCUAUUCAUUUGUGAUGAUGACGAUGAGAUCAAUUUUGUUUCUGUCAAAAGCUGAGCUAACUAUUUUUAAUCCUUGUGCCUUUAGUCAGUUUGACAGCUACACAUUGGAUAUAGAUAAUGUAAGUAAUCUUAAAUAGAGUGAAAGCUUUCAUUUCCUACAGAUUGCAGGCUACAAAAUUGUCUAUCGUAUUAUCACAAAGUAGGAGAGAGAACUAUUAUGCAAACACACCAAGACACAUUGUUAUCCACGUUACAUAUUUGCCGGAACAUUCAUACAUGUUGGCUACCAAUUAUUCACCAUAAAUCCAGAAGAGAACUAGCAUAACAAUUGGAGCUUUGUCCUGCAAAUUAUUUAAAGCUUCAAACUCCGAGCUACAGCCUGGAAGACAGGUUUUUGGGGUUUAGCUUAGCAUGCAUAGUUGACGCGGAAUGCAAUUAUAACCGGCGCAGCGGAGUGCGCCUUACCCUUCUGCUUAUUGUGCUUGCAGUUCUUCGAGUCAAAAUGCUAUCCAGUCAGCUCCCAAUUCUGCUUAUUAUGGUCUUUGCUUAGCCAUAUAAUCAAAUGCCAGAUAGGUCACAUGGUUGAUUAGAAAAAGAGCAUUGAGGGUCUAUGCUUAUUGUGGUUGCAGUUCUUCGAAUGAAAAUGUUAUUCUUGGUUUCUAGAUUAAUUUGGUUAUCCAGUCGGCUCCCAAUUUCCAGUUUCUUAUUAUACGAGGAAUCGAUGGUUUACUGUUAAUUAUUUUGUUUUAUUUUUUUCUUGGUUUUUUGCUUGAUGUGUUUUCGAUUGGGAGCUCUCCACUGGGAAGAUACCCCUCCACGCCCAGCCACCUCUUCACCACCACGCGCCAGUCAGCGCAUGAGGCGGCGGAACUGGCGGCGCCGUCCAGCAGGAGAACAUACACGAUAUAACCCUUGCUGAUUCAUGUACGUGAAGUUGAGCAUGCCCGCACUGAUGGGCGCCAUCACCGUUGACGGCAAGAGUGCAAGUCGCGGCUCAGGCCGCUGCUCCGUUGGGAUCACCAUCGUGUGCGGUCAUUGUACUCGCGUUGCACGUGUGCUCAGAGUUGUUGAUGCAAUGAGAGCUCGAUGUCGUGUCCGCCGGCUGAGCGGCAAGCCGGAGCUGCAAGUCUAUGAACAUGGUGGUGCUACUGUCAUCAGUGUUCCCUAUAUAUCAUCCAUUGCGAUCAAUUAAGAGGUGAAUACAUCAUGUUUGGCAAUAAAUCUCGCUUAGACAAAGAAGAUGUUUGUCUAUAAUUUUCUACCCUCUUGAAUAUGCACACCACCACCCCGCGAUCUUCUCGGAGAACCUCUGAGUGUGUUUGAGCGACAUCACCACAUCCGAUGGAGCCAGUCGUGCACUUUACGAUGUUUUCAUGCACCAUGUUAAUCUCCUGCCGUUCUUAAGUGGCACUAAAAAGCUUCAUUGACUUCGUGUCAAUAUAAAAGAGUUUAUAUAUGUGUCAUGAUUUCUUUUUUUUUAUCAUUUUCAGGUUAACAUGAAUGGAUAUGAUGGUAUGAUCUCCAUGAGCCUCAAUACUGCCAUCAGAUCAGGAGAGCUAAUUCUCACUAUCUCGACGGGGUGGCGACCAUUCCCGUGAGGCCCGGCCACGAGCAGUGCUCCUUUUGCUGAGCGCCGAGGAGUCGAAGGGUGCUCCGGAUUCGGAUCUGGGCGCGGUGGCGUCCAUGGCCAAGCUCGAACCUGGGCGUGUGGGCGCGUUGGUGAUCGUGGCAGCGGUCGUGGCCGAGCUCUGAGCACGGUGGCUGCCAUGGCCGAACUCGACUGUCUCGUACGUGACGAUUCACCACCAGACAAGAAUAAAGGAGGAGCGAGCGGCGGAGAUGAGAGGAGCAGCAGCCAUGGCGACCACUCACCCAGAACUAGACAUGUGAUUUCAUCUGGUCCAUCAUGGAGUACUGCAAAUCUACCAUGCAAACGGUAUUUUGCUGGUACGAGGAGACAUGGCUGGAAGCAACGGCGAAGCACACCAGUAGUAUCUCUGUUUGGGAGAAAGAGCGCAAAGAGGACCACCAGAGAAACGGGUGUUCCAGACCCAGACUAUCGACAACCGAUCGCUAUACUUGUUUUGCUCUUCCUAGGAUGGCCUGGAUGGCCUGAGGUGAGCAGCCUUUGAUACGCCGUGUUAGGCGCCCAGGUGUUGCCUUUCUGAUAAAUCAGGCUACCACCGACCAGCUCGAGCUCGCUUCAGCCUCCUCCUCUAGCCCCUAACAGCCUCCUCCUCUCAUCUUGCAGCUACUACCUCAUCGCCAUGCUACAACAAAAAAGAUUCAUGUGAGGCGGUCCCUAUGAAGUACAUGGACGAGACAGAUGGAUUACGCCAUCUAUUAGUAUGCUUAGUAAUUCUGUAGUUGGCUCUUUUUAUUAUGUUCAUGUUCUUAUUAACUCCUCUUAUGUGUUCUCGCAAUUGGUAUCGAACUUCAUGUCGAAUGGCUAUCUUUUGUGGUCGUAUGAACGGGUCGAGCUUGAUCCUGCCUUAUAAAUUGAUGUUGUCUUGUGCUCCAUUACGUUUUACUUUUAUCACAAUUGAAUGUUUCUUUAUUUUAUUAUUAUCCUGUAUAAGUGCAAAUGCUA